UGCUACUGUGCUAGGUUUGAGGAGGCGAGAGCUCCGCCCUCGCUUCGUGGUUCAAACGAGGAAGAAGCUCCGCAGCGGCCAUUAAUGGCGCUCGCCGCCACCACCGCCGCCACCGCUACCAUUGGCCAUUCUCUUCUCCCUCUUACGCCGCGGAGGAGGAUGAGGAGGUGUGUCUCCUCUUCCUUCUCCUUCAUCGAUCCCACCUCCUCCGCUUAUCCCCUCCGCCGCGAGAGGGGCGAUGUGUCGCUCUCCGUCGCCUUCAACCCCUCCGGCAACUUCGAUCUCUCCCUCACCGGAGGCGUCGACGAUGAUGCCCAACAAGUUGCACCUCCACUACCCCCAACUGAAGGACGCUUCGAAAUUGUACUCAAUACUGAUGUCAUAAGACGGCUCGACCUAUCUCCAAUCCAAUCAUUAGGUGAAAUCAACUCCCUUAAUGCAGAUCAAUCAAGAAAGCUUUUGGAGCAAACAGUUGGUUUCACUAUUAAUUAUGAGAGAGAGGAUCCUUACGAUACACGUGAACUAUCAGAGUUCCCAGAUAUAAGGCUGUGGUUUGUGAGACUCGAUGCUUCUUAUCCAUGGUUCCCUGUGUUGCUUGAUUGGAGAGCUGGAGAGCUCGCGAGAUAUGCAGCAAUGUUAGUCCCUCAUCAGAUGAGCAUGAGACUCGGCGUUGUCUUCAAUCCUGAGGCCCUUGAGUUGUUUGUGAUGAAUAAAGCUUUUAGUGUGUAUUCUUGGCUGAAGCAACAGAACUAUCCUAAACCCAAGUUGAAAACAUGUGACAUGGCCAGGAUGCUCGGAUUUGGUUUGGGAGAUGAAUUAUUUGACUUGAUAGAUCGGCAUCCUCGUCAUUCUUCAUGAAGCAUUGUAUGUCUUUAGCUACAAAAAAAGGAAAAAAAAAGAAAAAGAAACUAUGUGUCAACAUGAUUCUCUCUAUGAGUUCAGCUCUCUUUAUAAUGUCCUUUAUGAAGCUAUUGACUCUUAUUCAAAAAAAACAUGAAAGAUCAUAGAAAAUGGAGAAUCUGUACCCUACAACAGCACCUAUGGAGAAUCUGUGCCCUACAGCAACACCUUCUUCAGAACAACAACCCUUGAUGCACGGGUGCACAGAAGGUCGAGGAAUCUUAUCAAGCAAGGUUACUUGUACAUUCUCCUUAACAUCUUCUGCUAUAGAGCCUUUGGACCUUGACGUGGAAUUAAAGCUUUUCUAUGAAGAUGAUAUUCCUCCAAGGUGAUUUAUGGCAAGAAAUUUAUAGAGACAUCUGUUUCACUGCGAACCGAACUUCUGGAGAUGUUGAUCAGAUCAAGUUGUUGACCAAGUCAAGCGCGCCUUUGGAAUGGGGAUCAGUUCUUAGAUUGACCCUCCAGUGCUCUACGAUCAAGCGAUUUGAUUGAGGAGGGAUCGAUUCAACCGGAUUCUUCUUCAAUAUGCUAAAAAGAACUGAACUUGAGAAUAGACUCGGCUGAAAGAGUCGAAUCGUUUAUAUUUUACCAACUGGGGGAGUUACAACGAUUGAGGUACUGCUAGCUAUUAACUACUCCUAAAAAGCUUGUAAACAACCAGAAUGCAAAAGCUACAUACUAUUCUACUCCUAGCAAAUUCUGAAAUGUUGGAAUUGAAGGUGAUUAAAAAGCAGUGGUCUUGUAUUCGCGGAAAGACCACUGUUACAGGUGUCUUUAUACUCUUUAUAGUACUUUUGUCAGCCCGUGGUUACCAGAUGGCUCGCAUCACGGGGAGCGCUACAGUCGUAUUUUUAUUGGCCGCGGGAAUUACUCUCACAUUCUCACACCCCUUUCCGCCCGGAGUUCUUUCCUCUUUGGGUGUUUGCUUCUCGGCUCUUGGCGUACCAAAUGUCGCUCUCUGAUUUGCCCAUAUCGGUUAAUUAUGUAAACCGAGACCUCUAUCAGCUGACACUAUUUUUCUUGCGCCAACAACAUUCAAAUAACUUAAGGAACAAAUUCAGAUCAUUUCGUGCUA